rnacentral:rRNA from 1 species
GAUGAACGCUGGCGGCGUGCCUAAUACAUGCAAGUCGAGCGAACAGACGAGGAGCUUGCUCCUCUGACGUUAGCGGCGGACGGGUGAGUAACACGUGUAUAACCUACCUAUAAGACUGGGAUAACUUCGGGAAACCGGAGCUAAUACCGGAUAAUAUAUUGAACCGCAUGGUUCAAUAGUGAAAGACGGUUUUGCUGUCACUUAUAGAUGGAUCCGCGCCGCAUUAGCUAGUUGGUAAGGUAACGGCUUACCAAGGCAACGAUGCGUAGCCGACCUGAGAGGGUGAUCGGCCACACUGGAACUGAGACACGGACCAGACUCCUACGGGAGGCAGCAGUAGGGAAUCUUCCGCAAUGGGCGAAAGCCUGACGGAGCAACGCCGCGUGAGUGAUGAAGGUCUUCGGAUCGUAAAACUCUGUUAUUAGGGAAGAACAAAUGUGUAAGUAACUAUGCACGUCUUGACGGUACCUAAUCAGAAAGCCACGGCUAACUACGUG